AAUGAGUCUUUUAAGAAAAAUGAUCCCAACUUGUGUUUUUAUUCCCUGGCAUCCUUAACUCGUUAAUAAGGAGGGAAGGAGUUCAAUGUUAAUGGGAGCUAGCUGGGCUUCCAGGAAGUUCCUGGGCUAAGUCACAAGAGCUUUUGUUCCAGGAGACAUUUGGGGCAUGCUGAGGCAGGAGGAUCCCUUGAGUCUGGGAGGUUGAGGCUGCAGUGAGCUGUGAUCAAGCCACUGCGAAGUCUCCAUACCUCUCUAAGAUUCACUGCAGGUGUGUGUACUUCCUUCAUUCCAGGCCCAGCUGACUUUUUUCCCUUCCAUAGUCCUUUGCUCUUUCCCCCUUCCCUUCUCCCAGACACAAGAAAUGCUUUCAGUCUGGGAAAAGUUCAGGGAGGUGGGAACUUGUCUCUACCCAAUAGCAAUUUUUCUAUAUUUUGCAGAAUUUAUGCCCUAAUUCCUUUUAGCCGUGGGCUUUUGAAGCUCAAAAGCUCACGUUUGGAAACUCACAAUAUGAGGCAUUUGAAAUUUAAAGCCUUUUCCUUUGCUUUUCUGCAGCCCCUUUAUUAAGCAAAUAAAUGCUGUUAAAUCGAGUUGCUGCUGGAGUCAGGGAAAGGAAAGAGAGUGAGGAGUAAUGAGAGUGAUAUGGAGGAGAGAGUGCAGUCAAUGAUUUCAAAGGUAAAUGUCUUUCCACAUAAACUUGUGAUAUAAAUAAAGAGAGGAACAGGCAUUCUGCUGAACAUCUCUGGGCAACAUUACCCUUUAUUUAAAAAACUCUACACGCCUUAUUUUAUGGAGAGUUCUGGAACCCAAGAUAGGAAUGUCACUUAUGUGCAUAUUCUUACGCCAGCUUUCCUUCCCACAUACCAUUAUGAUAACUCUCCAUCCCUGUAAAUAACCAGGGGGUCUCUCUUCCUUCUGACCCUUGCACAACGUAGCUAGCUGGAGUGAUCCAUUUCUUCUUCUUCUUUUUUUUUUUUUUUUUUUUUUUUGAGAUGGAGUCUCGCUCUGUCACCCAGGCUGGAGCAAUCCAUUUCUAUCUUUCGUGACACCCGUCUGGUACUACUUUGAGAACUAGAUGAAAACUAGAAGUGCUUUUUGUCUAUUUAAAAACCUUAUUAUGCUGGUUUCAAUGUGUUUUUUGGUAGUUACAGUUCUGAGAAGUGUGGAUUUUGCAGUUCCACACUGUUAAGCAUGAUCUCACUGUUGUGUAUCUGGGUAAAAGGUGAUUUAAAGGCAUCGCAAGGAGCCAAGCUUCCAUCUGAUGAGAAAUGCAAAAAGACACAAGGGGGCCAUUCCUGGAAGUGUGAAACUCUAUGUUCAACAGGACCAAGAGACGAGUCGGUUGCAUAUUUACAUUUUACAUUUAUGUGAUGCAUUAGAAUUUAUAAAGCGUAUUCACAUGCAUUAAUCACUAAGAUGGAAUUUUAACAGGCAACUGGUACGAGCUGCAUUGGAAUAAGAGGGAUUGAUAGUAUUUAAGGACCAGUCAGAAGAGGACUGAUGGUAUUUAAGGACCAGUUACAAAACAGGCUGGUUGCAGUGACUCACACUUGUAAUUCCAGCACUUUGGGAGGCCGAGGCAGGAGGAUCACUUAAGCCCAGGAGUUCCAGAUCAGCCUGGGCAACAUAGUGAGACCUCCAUCUCUACAAAAAAUGUUUUAAAAAAUUAGCUGGGAACGGUGGCAUGUGCCUUUAGUUCCAGUUACCUGGGAGGCUGAGGCAGGAGGAUCACUUGAGUGCGGGGGGGGGUUGAGGCUGCAGAGAGCUACGAUCACACCACUGCACUCCAGCCUGGGUGACAGAUCCUGUCUCAAAAAAAAAACCAAAAACAAGCAGAAAGUGAAAAAAUAGUGACAGAGUAUAUUUCUUUGAAUCAUGCCUUCAAUUGCAUGUGCUCCUUGGUUAAGAACACUCAUUGAGGAUUAUAUUUAACUUUUCUGUUUUAUUUUAUAUAGAAAAACCCAUAUUAGAGCAAAAUAUACCUUAGUAGUGGUAAGCUGUGGUGACUCUAAUUAAUACUGCUUUCUAACUACUCUACAGGAAAAGUGAUCUACAGGGUUUACCUGUAGAAAUACAGCAGUGCCAUAGCCAGGCGUGGUGGCUCACACCUGUAACCCCAGCACUUUGAGAGGCUGAGGCAGGUGGAUCAUGAGGUCAAGAGAUCGAGACCAUCCUGGCCAACAUGGUGAAACCCCGUCUCUACUAAAAAUACAAAAAUUAGCUGGGCAUGGUGGCACCCACCUGUAGUCCCACCUACUUGGGAGGCUGAGGCAGGAGAAUCACUUGAACCCAGGAGGCAGAGAUUGCAGUGAGCCAAGAUCGCGCCAUUACACUCCAGCCUGGGCAACAGAGAGAGACUCCGCCCCCCCCCCCCAAAAAAAACAAAACAAAACAAAACAAAAAAAGCAGUGCCAUUAGGCACUAGUGCCAGAGUGGUUGCAUGCAUCUGGAUUCCCUGGAAAUUCCUGGGAGCGGGAGUGACAGAGCCCAGUCCUGUCACUGAGUGGGUUCUUAAGAUGACCACGGUUCCUGUUUUCCCACAGCCCUCUGUCAAGUCUUCACCGACGGGCAGACAGCACAGUUCACAUUUCAGUCACGGCACUGGCUUGCCCCUCUUGCUUGGCAGAGAAAGGACAGUGACUCCCUUACCUGGAAGGUUGUGCUCUUAUCUAACAGAAGGAAGGUGAAGAGGUGCAGAGCAGAGGAUGACAGCCGGGGGGCAACAUGACUUUUGCUGGAUGUGAGAAAUGCCAAGUCAGUCGCUAUACCGACCUUAGUUCUUCAGCCCCACGUCCCAUUUGAGACGCAUAUUCCUGCAUUCUAGGGAUACACCCAACUGACCUGUUUCAUGGAGGGAAAUUAGAGUUUGGCUUUGGCUGUCAGUUUCUGAAAGGAAUUAAAGGGUUUGCUCCUCAUCCUCCAUGCCGUGCUAUAAUACACCAAAAUGACCACCCGGCAGUUUGCAGCUGAACUCAGACAUCAUAUAGUCAGUUACAUCUCUCUCGUCAGAUAACAAAUGUCUUGGACCCCACUGUGGAGGGGUAAUUGGAAUUCAGCUACCGUGGGAACUCUACCUUAAUUGCCAUACAGGAUGACAACAAGGGAGCCCAAAUAGCAGAAUACAUCCCUGUAUCAUUUUUUUCUUGGCUUGGCAGAGGUGUGUGUAGUGCUGGUGUAUUAGGGUUCUCGAGAGGGACAGAACUAAUAGGAGAGAUGUAUAUAUAAAGGGGAGUUUAUUAAGGAGUAUUUACUCACACAAUCACAAAGUGAGGUCUUACAGUAUGUUGUCUGCAAGCUGAGGAGCAAGGAAGCCAGUCUUGAGUCCCAAAGCUGAAGGACGUGGAGUCUGAUGUUCAAGGGCAGGAAACAUCCAGCUCGGGAGAAAGAUGGAGGCCAGAAGACUAAACCCGUCUAUUCUCUCCAUGUUCUGCCUGCUUUUAUUCUGGCCACACUCACAGCUGAUUAGAUGGUGCCCAUCCAGAUUGAGGGUGGGUCUGCCUCUCCCAGUCCACUGACUCAAAUGUUAAUCUCCUUUGGCAACACCCUCACAGACACAUCCAGGAACAGUACUUCGCAUCCUUCAAUCCAAUCAAGUUGACACUCAAUAUUAACCAUCAUAGCUGGGUUCUGUCAGUUGCUCUCCCAGGACUUUCCAGGGAAUACAGAUUAGUAGAGAUAGAAGAAGAUAAGGAAAGACUAUUGCAUGGAAGAGUUGCCUUAGUGAUGAUGAAAUUGGAGGGAAAUAUGUAAUGCUGCUGUGUUGGAAUCUUCCCCAUGAAGAAUGCUUUCCCACCUUGGAUCUACAGAGAUGUCUUUUGUAAUAGGGUUUGGCAGAAAAAGCAACAGACUAGGAGUCAGGCGGUCUCUGCUUUGCUAUUUACAUCCACCUAAUUCGUAGAACCCAGACCCAACCUGCAAACUACUAAGUCCUGGCAAAACCGCAGCCAUUAGCAUGGGAUCCACAUUCCCAGUGCAUGUUUAGAUGGCCUUCUCUUCACCCUCUCUGAUUCCUGGUUAAUGUUUUCUUUGCCACCCUGACUUAUGAGUAUCAGGACUCAUGAGCAGCAAGAAAUAGAAAACCCAGCUCAGACUGACUCAGGCCAAAAAGGGUAUCCGUUGGCUUAUCUAAUUGUAGGCAUUGCUGGGUAUAAGGACUCCUUUGAUUUGAUUGGGACUCAGUUUCUUGCCAUCUCUCAGUUCUGAGUUCCUUUUCCUUGACUCCACUUUUUAGCAGGGUCUUUCCUCCUGAUGAUGAAAUAGUUGCCAGAGAUGCUAAGCUUAUAUCCUCUAAAGCUUCAACUUCAGUAAAACAGAGAGCCAACUUCUGUUUCAGCAAUGUCAGUAGUGUGUGUCACUAGCUUUGGAAGGGUGAUUCUCCUGAUUUGGGACUAGAUCAAAUGUUCCCCCCAGCGAGGUGUGGUGGCUCAUGCCUGUAAACCCAGCACUUUUGGAGGCCGAGGCAGACAGGUCACUUGAGGUCAGGAGUUUGAGACCAGCCUGGCCAACAUGGUGAUAACCUAUCUCUACUAAAAAUACAAAAAUUAGCCGGGCAUAGUGGUGGGCACCUGUAAUUCCAGGUACUUGGGAGGCUGAGGCAGGAGAAUCGCUUGAACUUGGGAGGAGGAUGUUUCAGUGAGCUGAGAUCACGCCACUGUACUCCAGUCUGGGUGACACGGCGAGACUCUGUCUCCAAAAAAAAGUACCCCCGCCCCACCUCUGCAGGAGAGGAAGCCCCACUCGAAUCACUUGGGUUAAAAGUAGGGGAAGGGUUAAUCUCAGGUGAAAAGGAGGUAGUACUGUUGCAAGAAGAGGGACUGGAUAGAUGUGGGUGACCCAACCAUAACUACCUACUCUCCCUCAGCUCCCAAAACAUAGCUCAAGCGUUCCUCAGUAGCAGGAAUUUUACAAAACACUGCUGCAAGUUCCAAUAAGAGGUAUGUUGCAAAUACCUAAAAUUAGCUGGAAUUUGUAACGAGUUUUUAUUUUUAAAAAUAAGUUAGAGUGGAUUCAGAGUUAUCCUGGUAAAGCUUUCAGUGAUGGAUAUGUGAGCAUUUUAAUACGGUUGGCUCUAUUUGUGUAAAACUUUGAAAAUUUUCACAACAAAAAAGGUAUCCCCUAAAGAAUAUCAAUUUUACUCAUUUGUUUUCCAAAACACUUUUUUUUAUAUGGGAGGUAGGUUGUCAGAGAAGGGGUGCUCAGGCCUGCUUGUUAGACUAGAGAAGGCUUCCUGGCCAAGUGACAGCUCAGGAUGUGGGAAGUAGUAACAGCCAAGUGAGUGCAUUUUUUUUUUAAGAGAUGGGAUCUCACUCUGUCACCCAGGCUGGAGUGCAGUGGCACAAUCACAGCUUACUGCAGCCUUGACUUCCUAGGGUCAAGCCAUCUUCCCACCUCAGCCAUUCUAGUAGCUGGGACUAUAGGCACACCACACCACCUGGCUAAUUUUUUAUUUUUUGUAGAGAUGGGGUCUUGCUAUGUUGUCCAGGCUGGUCUUGAGACCAGAACUCCUGACCUCAGGUGAUCCUCCCACCUCUGCCUCCCAAAGUUCUAGGAUUAUAAUUAUGAGCCACCACACCUGACCUGCAUUUUGAAUACAAUAUGAGAAGGGCUUUGUAAACUGUAAAGUGCCAUAAAAGUAUUGUAAGUAUGUGGUGGAAGAAUAUUUUUGAAAUAUUAACAUGAUUUUCCCCUCAGCUUUUUUUCCCAUUCUUACUGCCUUUGUUUUCUCCUCACUCAGCUAAGCCAAUCUAUAUUCAUUCUAUCAGGAGGAAGACUAUGACAGCAGGAGAAAGAACAAAGAAUCUUCUAAGGGGCACAGAAAAGAGAGAGUUAUUAAGUCUUCCCCACCACCAGACUAGUAAAAAGAUUCCCUAGACUGGGAGAACAGAGAGAGCCAGAAGUUCUAUGCCUGAAGCUUUCCAAUGACAAAAUAAGAAUUCCCCAUGGCAGGUGAAUGGGUAAAUGAUGGAAGUGUCCUAUGCAUGAAUUAUUAUGUAGCCUUUAAAACGAAUGCAUUAAAUCUAUGCCAGUUCAUUUGGAGGGGGCUUCUGGUUUACAACACCAGCGAGAUGUAGACAAAGAUGCUACAAAAUUCCUUUUUGUAGAACAAAUGAUGCCCAGCCCCCAUUAUUAACAUAGACAUUUGCAUGUUUGCAUACAGUUGCAUGAGCAUGGGCAAAAAGUAUGAAAAGAUACACUUUGCUUCCUAACACUAUUUACCUGGGGAGAGAAAAUAAGUGGGAGGAAUAGAAACUUAAAAAGUAUGCACAAUAAAAAAGCAUUUGUGGCAAUUCCAUUUAUGUGAUAUUCAUAUGUAUACAUACGUGUGUGAAUGCGUAUGUGUGUAUGAAAAGAUUACCACCAACUCAAAUGGUACAGAUAUGUAUGAAGAAACUCAAGAUAAAUAAUAGUAACAUUUUGAUUAUUGAGUUUCCUUAUAGUUAUCUAAAUUGUUCAAAUUAUUUUCUCAAGCUUCAUGUAUUUUCCCACUUUUAAGCAGGCAAUAACAGAAACUAUCUUAAAGAUAACACAUUUAAAUUUACUGACACACAGUAGGCACCUAAUAAAUAGUUUAAAGAAAAUAAGUAUAAUUCUCAAAAUUCAAUAAAGAUCUUGUCAUUGUGGAGACAAAAAGAACCACGCUUGGAGAGAAGCCAGAGAUAGCUGAGAAGAUGCUCACUCUGUCUUCUCCUUGAAAGAAAAGCCAACACAGAUUUAAGAGGUCCAAAAAUGAUAGAGAGGAAGAGAGAGAGAGAGAAAGAUUUUCAACCUGCUGCUUUUCAACCAAAACAUUGCAGCAAGGGCUGCAAGCCACAUACGUGGAAUAUACUGAGAAUUUAGCAUCUGAUCAUGAGCAAACUCAGAGACAUGGAUGGUCCUUCCUGCUACUUCUUUGAGUUUGCAGGGCUUGGAGGCUGUAGCAGUGAGUGGUGCUGCUGUCCUAAUGUCCUGACUAUACCGGGAGCCACUCUUCGAUCAUUCUUCUGUCCAUUCAGAUGAGUAGAGAUGGGCUGCAUGAACGGUUUUAUCCCCAGGAUCAAGUGGAGCAUCUGGCAUGGAACAGCCAGCCACUCAAUGCGAGGGGCUUUGUGGAGAGCUGUCCAUCAUCCUUGCCUGCCCAAGGACAAUGACUUCUCAGCUUUCACCAUGCAUCCUGCAGCCAUGGAGGGAAGCAAAAUUAACUGGUCUCCAUCAGCCUCCCCAUCAAACAUUUGCUGAGCACCCAUCAUGUGCAAAAUAUUGACUAGGAACUGUGGGAGAUGGGAAGAAUUCUGGAAACUCCUAACUCUCAAGGAAUUUGCAGGGUUAUCAGACAGUUGCCACACAAAGACAUAAAAACAUCCCCUGCUAAAAUAAAGACCACGCCAGAUAUGUGCUGUAGGUAUUCACCCCUGCAGGAACUCUGGGGAAAAUGGGGCAGGAGGAGUCACCCUUGGAUGUCACAAAUGGCUCUCCAAAGGAAAUAGAACAACAUCGCAGCAUGAAUUCUGAAGCCGGCCCACCUGCCUGCCUUGAAUUACAGCUUCCACCAGCUGUCUGGCCUUGGACAAACUACUUAACUCUCCACAUCUGUCAAAUGGGGAUAAUAAUAUAACAAUCCCCCAAUAUUGUGAGGAUGAAAUAAGCUAAUACUUAGGAAAAGCUUGGAACAGUGCUUGGCACGUCUUAAGUGUGAUAUGUGUGAGCUCCUUCCUUGAUUCUCAUUCUGACUUGAAGAGGAUUUUUAGAGGGGAGACCCAGGGAACAGUGGGGCAGCCUAGACGGGUGGAAAGUGUUAUGCUGGAGGCUUAACCUAACCUGGUUCAAAACCUGGUUCUGCUAUUUCUACCAGUGUGACCUUGACUUAAACUCUCCAAAGCUCAGUUCCUCACUUAUAAAAUGGUAAUAACAAAACCAAUUUCAUUGAAAACGUAUGCUAACGAUGCCAUGAUAAAUAAUAGUUAUUAUUAAAGAGAAACACAGUAAAGAAGUUCCCAGAGGGAGGUGAAUAAAUUAAGCAUGAUGACGUGCCUUGCUACUUCCCCAUCUUUCUCUUCUUCCCCCAGAUUUGUUCAAGGUCUCAUCAUUACUGGUUUGCAUUUCUAUUUUAAUCAUGUUAUAGGUUUACAGUAUUUUUCCCCCUGCAUCUUUAUAUGCUAUAAUUUGGGUACUAUUUUUACACAACGAAGCCAUUUUUAACCGAGAACAGAUUCAAUUGUCUUUCAGCAUAUAUCAUUGUUUAUCUUAAUUAAUGCUAAAAUAUUCUUAGGGGGAAAAACACAUCCCACAGAGUAUUAUGCGAAGAAACUUAGCAUUCAUUUUUGCCUCCCUCUUUUCUGGCAUAUCAAUUUAUAAAGGUUUUAGCAUCCUGUUAUUUCAAUGACAAUAAUGCAUGCUCUUAAACGCAGACACCCAUCUGUGGGAAGCAAGUCACAGGGUGUCAACAGCAGCAAGGUGUGUGUUGCAGUGGAGGUGGAGGAUUGACAGCUGGAAGAAGAAGGGGAUUUUGCUGGUGAGAAUAAUGCCAAGUGAAGUCAUAGGCUUUGUCUCUGAUUGAUCCAUGGAAACAUUCCUUGAGUAGAGCUGAAUCUAGCUAGAUUCCAUGCUUGGAGUCUUUCUUAGUAAGGCUACUACUAUAAGCACAGAUGAUGGAAAAUGGAUGAUGUUUUUAUUCAUCAUCCAUUCUCUUUCCUUCAAAUAAGAUGCCCCAUGCACCUCUGAGGGAAUGACCCUUUACACACUCAACCUAAGUUUUUUGCCUCUCCCUCCAGCUCUAGGGUGGGCAUGUGAUAUAGAACUGACCAAUCAAUAUCUAUUAUCUUUCUGGCCACAGUGAUUGGGCAAGGGAUAGCCAUGUGACCCAAUCAGAGCCAAGAGACUCAGUUUUGAGGCUUUAGAUAGAACCACUGGGAAAGAGGGUUCUCUUUCUACUGGGAUGCUGACCUGGCAGGAAUAUUACCCAGAGCUGCCUGUGACCAUCUUUACUAUGAAAAGGGGAGAGCUUGCCAAAGAAUGAAGCUGUAUUAUAGUCUGUUCUCAUGCUGCUAAUAAAGACAUACCUGAGAUGGGGUAAUUUAUAAAGGAAAGAGGUUUAAUGGACUCAAAGUUCCACAUGUCUGGGGAGGCCUCACAAUCAUGGCAGAAGGCAAACGAGGAGCAAAGUCACGUCGUACAUGGUGGAAGGCAGGAGAGCGUGUGCAGGGAAACUCCCCUUCAUAAAACUAUCAGAUCUCGUGAGACUUACGAGAACAACACAGGAAAGACCCGCCCCCAUGAUUCAUUUACCUCCCACUGGGUCCCUCCCAUGACACAUGGGAAUUAAGGGAGCUACAAUUCGAGAUGAGAUUUAGGUGGGGACACAGCCAAACCAUAUCAGAAGCCAAUAUGAAAGAAAACAGAACUGAGAGAUGGAGGCAGACUCUUGAUGACAACUCCUGGACCCUGGAUCAAUUUUUGUUUAAAGCCAGUCUGCACUCUGCAUCUUUGAUGUAAACCAAUGUAUUUCCUUUAUUUGUUUGUUUAAACUAAAUUAAGUCAUUUGUAAUUUAAAGAGUUCAGAGAGGUGCCGUGUUUCAGUAGGGAACUGUAAAAAGCCAGGAUAUUCUGUAAAUUAGAAGGGAAUAAUGUGGUGUUGACCACAUCUGGGAGAAUGUGCAUCUGAGGGUGUCUUGCAUGCCAAACUCACUUGUCUUCCUAAUCAAGCAAUAGUUUGGUAACUGAGAAGUUCCAAGUAGCCUUUAAGUCACACAAUCAUACUAGAGGAACUCCUAAGAACCUGGGUGACAUUGUGAUAUAAAAUGUGGAACUUCACUAGGUUAUGCAAGAACCUCUGAAAAGGGUUGAUAGGAAGGGUGUACGUUAGGUGUGUAAAGAACUAGGUGUGGGGGAACUAACUAGUACAAAAGGGAUCUGGUGAAUUUGGAUUCUACCCUACUCGAGAUGAUGUUGGAGGGCUCUGAUCAAAGUAGGGGUUUGGGGGCAGAAUUAUGACAAGUAUCUAUAGGAAGUCACUAUCUUUUAUUAAAAAUUUGUUGUGAACCUGUCCUCACUCAUAGUUGGGAAUUGAACAAUGAGAACACAUGGACACAGGAAGGGGAACAUCACACUCUGGG
rnacentral:lncRNA from 1 species